UCAGAUUGAACGCUGGCGGCAUGCCUUACACAUGCAAGUCGAACGGCAGCACGGGAGCUUGCUCCUGGUGGCGAGUGGGCGAACGGGUGAGUAAUGCAUCGGAACGUGCCCUGAAGUGGGGGAUAACGUAGCGAAAGUUACGCUAAUACCGCAUAUUCUGUGAGCAGGAAAGCAGGGGAUCUUCGGACCUUGCGCUUUUGGAGCGGCCGAUGUCGGAUUAGCUAGUUGGUGAGGUAAAGGCUCACCAAGGCGACGAUCCGUAGCGGGUCUGAGAGGAUGAUCCGCCACACUGGGACUGAGACACGGCCCAGACUCCUACGGGAGGCAGCAGUGGGGAAUUUUGGACAAUGGGCGCAAGCCUGAUCCAGCCAUGCCGCGUGAGUGAAGAAGGCCUUCGGGUUGUAAAGCUCUUUCGGUGGGGAAGAAAUUGCUUCGGUUAAUACCUGGAGUAGAUGACGGUACCCGCAUAAGAAGCACCGGCUAACUACGUG
rnacentral:rRNA from 1 species